ACUGUGUGUUGUUGGGUAGGGGAGCGUUCUGUAAGCCUGCGAAGGUGGCCUGUGAGGGUUGCUGGAGGUAUCAGAAGUGCGAAUGCUGACAUAAGUAACGAUAAAGCGGGUGAAAAGCCCGCUCGCCGGAAGACCAAGGGUUCCUGUCCAACGUUAAUCGGGGCAGGGUGAGUCGACCCCUAAGGCGAGGCCGAAAGGCGUAGUCGAUGGGAAACGGGUUAAUAUUCCCGUACUUGGUGUUACUGCGAAGGGGGGACGGAGAAGGCUAUGUUGGCCGGGCGACGGUUGUCCCGGUUUAAGCGUGUAGGUGUGUGUUCCAGGUAAAUCCGGUUCACUUUAACACUGAGGCGUGACGACGAGGCACUACGGUGCUGAAGCAACAAAUGCCCUGCUUCCAGGAAAAGCCUCUAAGCAUCAGGUAACAUCAAAUCGUACCCCAAACCGACACAGGUGGUCAGGUAGAGAAUACCAAGGCGCUUGAGAGAACUCGGGUGAAGGAACUAGGCAAAAUGGUGCCGUAA
rnacentral:rRNA from 2 species